AACCUUAUGGACCUGCGGGCGUAUACCUGCGGAGGGAUCAUUACAAGUGACCCCGGUUUACCACCGGGAUGUUCAUAACCCUUUGUUGUCCGACUCUGUUGCCUCCGGGGCGACCCUGCCUUCGGGCGGGGGCUCCGGGUGGACACUUCAAACUCUUGCGUAACUUUGCAGUCUGAGUAAACUUAAUUAAUAAAUUAAAACUUUUAACAACGGAUCU
rnacentral:misc_RNA from 1 species